rnacentral:rRNA from 1 species
UAGGGAAUCUUCGGCAAUGGACGAAAGUCUGACCGAGCAACGCCGCGUGAGUGAAGAAGGUUUUCGGAUCGUAAAGCUCUGUUGUAAGAGAAGAACGAGUGUGAGAGUGGAAAGUUCACACUGUGACGGUAUCUUACCAGAAAGGGACGGCUAACUACGUGCCAGCAGCCGCGGUAAUACGUAGGUCCCAAGCGUUGUCCGGAUUUAUUGGGCGUAAAGCGAGCGCAGGCGGUUAGAUAAGUCUGAAGUUAAAGGCUGUGGCUUAACCAUAGUACGCUUUGGAAACUGUUUAACUUGAGUGCAAGAGGGGAGAGUGGAAUUCCAUGUGUAGCGGUGAAAUGCGUAGAUAUAUGGAGGAACACCGGUGGCGAAAGCGGCUCUCUGGCUUGUAACUGACGCUGAGGCUCGAAAGCGUGGGGAGCAAACAGGAUUAGAUACCCUGGUAGUCCACGCCGUAAACGAUGAGUGCUAGGUGUUAGACCCUUUCCGGGGUUUAGUGCCGCAGCUAACGCAUUAAGCACUCCGCCUGGGGAGUACGACCGCAAGGUU